ensembl:misc_RNA 7SK 7SK RNA
GGAUGUGAGGGCGAUCUGGCUGCGACAUCUGUCACCCCAUUGAUCGCCAGGGUUGAUUCGGCUGAUCUGGCUGGCUAGGCGGGUGUCCCCCUCCUCCCUCACCGAUCUAUGUGCAUCCCUCCCGAAGCUGCGCGCUCGGUCAAAGAGGACGACCUCCUUCCCCCCCCCCCCCCCCCCCCCCCCCAGGAGAGGACCGGUCUUCGGUCAAGGGUAUACGAGUAGCUGCGCUCUCCUGCUAGAACCUCCAAACAAGCUCUCAAGAAAGUGGAAAGAAAAUCCAUAGGAUAGAAAAAAUAGUUACAAAUAAUAUUUAUUGUAAGGUAUCUAGAACAUACCUAUAUAUUUA